ensembl:lncRNA
CAGCGGGAAACGAGCGCGUGCCCGGCCUUCCCGCCGCUGCUGCUGCUGCGGCGGCACGGGGGGGGAGAAGGCGGGAAAGGAGGGCGGGAGCGCCGCCCUGGGCUCAGCGCACGCCCUUGUAAAUCACACCCUGGUGCAGAACUUCGCGUUCGCUUUUUGGCUGUUGCUUCGCUCACACGUGUCGUCUGGCGCUACUAGAGCUAGGUAAGGACCGAAGGAGAGGAAGAUAGCAUUAAACCGUACAACGGGGGAAUAAAAAGCUUUAGAAAGUGAAGUUCUGUGCUUUCUCCACAAAGCAGAUGACAGCGUGACGGUUAGCCGCAUUUCCCGGCCUUCCGGGCAGCUGCUUCAGCAAAAGUAACAAAACCCGUAGCAACUCGCGUUGGCGGCAGCACUGGGGCGCGGCCUGUGGAAACCUCCGCACCUCCCGUACCGGUAAUGGCUGCAGGCGCGUCGGGGACAGAAGCGACGGGCAACGCUGGUGGAGCCGGGAGCGCAGGAGGGGCCGGCGCCGCCCGCGUGCCGUAUGGGAUCCCCGCAGCCGGGCUGAGGCUCCUCCCCUGGCUGACCUUUGUGAAGGACAGGACAUCCGAGCCUCUGUUCUUUGUUUGCUCUUUGUACCCUCAAUUCUGAUUCUGAUGGAACUCCAACCUAUGUCUUAUGCUUAAUAUAAUAUAUGGCCUUAUACUUAAUACACUUAAGUAAGCAUUGGAAAAAAUGGUUUCAAGGCUGACAGACGCUGAGUUCUGUUGAUGUAGGAGUCUGGGAUUUGUAGAAGAGAACAACUGAAAGACUAAACUAGGCAAUGCACGCAACAGAGCAGGGCGUAACUGUGCCACCUGCCUUCCUUCUUUUUACAGGAUAUACCACCAAUGUUUGCAUUAUGAAUUUCAUUUUCAUAAAUAAAUAUUUAACUAUACAACGGAAAAUAUUAUGCUUAGCUAAUUACCUAAUGAUUUUCUAAAAUGCUGUGCCUUUUUAUGCAUUUUAAUGUUCCGAUACACAUAGUUUAAAUAAUUUUAGUCAGCCCUCCACAAACAAAUUGCUAAUUGAAAUAUUCAGCAAGGAUUCAAGCUGUCUGCUUCAUUUACACUUAUUAGACAUAAUACAAUUCAAAUUCCAGCAUCUAAGACACUAAUAAGCUAAGCUACAUUACAGCUUAACUACUUAUUUUGAUGUAGGAGUACUCAUCCUCUGGUGGCUCGAAGGAGAUUUCGCAGGGCGUUUUUCCCCCUCGUCUCUCUGUUCUGUUUAAAUAUUCAGUGAGGAACGGGAAUCUCUGAUUUCCCAAGGGGAAGUUCUGUGCUUUAAGUGCCCCCCCAUAACAACAGCAAUCUUUUUUCAAACACUGAUGCGUUCUUUUAAAACCUCCUAGCUUAGUUAGGUUGCUUUUUACUAGUAGAGGAGCUAUUUAAGUGAGAGUUACAGUGUUAAAGCUUUCCAAACAGCACCUGAAAGGACUAGAUGGUCUUAGGGGCCUUCUCCAACCUCAGUGAUUCCCUUCCGUGAUGUUUUGGUCAGGCUGCAACUGACAUUUUGCUCACCUCUCCUCAGCUUGCAGCUACUUUAAAGCACCAUCGGGUACUUUGGUCCUACGUGUGGCAAGGGCUGGGUUUUUGGUUUCAUGAGAUGCUUCAGCAGUGUCUCCCACAACUGGAGUCACGUUCCCAAAAUCGCUCACUGCGCUCCUAACCCUAUAUUCAAUUGUUGCCAAAGUCAAAGCUAAACACUUUUGAGUAGUGCCUCAGUGCAGAUAAUACUGCUUUGGUAACGUUAUGUAAUUACACAGGGUAUAAAAUGCAUUACGUCAAAAUGUUCUCUAUACGUCUCAAAUUUUCCUUUUCCCAGCAUUCAUUUCACGUUCCAUUACAGUAGUUUGAAUGACCCACACCUCCAUUUACUGAAGUACUGAAAUGCGUGGGUGAGCCCACAGAGCUCAGCGGUGUGCAACAUGAGAAGUCAAAGUGCUUCACAGUGGAAUUUAUUUGAGAAUAGGUACAGCUGCAAGAUGAAGAACAGGAGAAGUUCCUUUUUUGGGGAUAUUGAAAGACAAGAACUUUGUACAUGGCGGAGAGAAGAGAUAAGAAACAUGCAUGCAAAAACAACAUGGUUGACACAAGCAAAGCCAUUGACUAAAAGUGACUUGCAUAACAAUCCUUUAACUGUGGAAAAGCAAUUGUGAAUAAGUUGUCUUUAUCAGUUAGGAAAAUGAAGCAAAACAAAAGUACCAAUUACAUAAUGGCUGUGCAUCCACUGAAGAAUGUACGUAGAUCAGAGCCUGCUAAGCAGAAAACAACAGCGCGUUUAGAUCCAUUAUGAGUGAGAGAACUUGUUUUUGAGGCCACACCGACAGGAAGGAUCGUUGUAUUAAGAUAAAUAAAACGUCCAGAAGGGUGAUUAAAAGCAUUAUGUUGGACUUAGUGGAAUUAAACAUCUGGAUAGAAGUGGUGUUGGACACAGGCUGGCAUUUGGUCAGGAAUAGACUUCUCCGGUGCAGAAAAACAAAACAAGUGACUCAGUAGAACAAAGGCUGCAGUUGAAUGUGUUUGCCCGCAGGAUUACUGAAAAAAAAUGAGCUGUGGAAGGGCACAAAUAGAAAACCAAAAAUGGGACAGUAGCUGUAACAAAAUGAAUGGUAGCAAUGCUGACAGAAGACAAGACACAUGGAGCUAUGUGAAACUGGUAGUGUUUUUGUUCCUUCUACUAAUGGUGCUUCCGCAUUCCAGUUGAAGGAUUGGCUGUAACGCUGUCUGCUCUGUUUAUCUAUUAAUUUCUCUUGUAUGGUACCCAGUUGUGUUUUCAAAAGAAGUACAUAUUGUAUUUUACAAGACCAGCACUGUCAGACCCUGCACCUACAACAGGAGCUGUCUGCAAGGGCUGAUUUUGUUAUGCCAUGAAGCAUUUGUGUUCUUACUACGAUAAGCUGUUGUUCUACCAUUAAUUGUUUUGGUAGGCUUUUUUCCCCACUGUCAUAUUCUCAUUACAAACAUUUUUCUAUGAAAUAACACUAAUGAAGAUCCAACCAUCUAUCAGUACAAAGGGAAAUCUCACAUGAUCUUCUCAGCUAUAGCUGCUAACACUACGUUAACUCAAAGUCAGGCAUCCUACUGCUGUCAAAACCAAUAUCAAAUAUUAUUGGGAGCUGCAAUAUAUAAUGCCUUCAGAAAAACACACAUCUGAUAUCAAACAGCAUCUGAAUCUCUUUUCCCACAGGAUCAAAGCUAAAGCUUUGAUAGCCACACGAUAACCUUUGGUUAGAUGUAUUUUGCAGGUGGGUAUUGCUAAAAGUUAGCCAGUAACACAAUAAAGCAGGAGAUUAAUUAUGUAACAUGAUUAGAGACACUGGAGCACCACCAUUGGCAUAAGGCAUUACUGUUAUCAUUUACCUGUUCAAAUUACAUACAGGGAACGGAACUUUUCUAGUCUUCCGCAUUGCAC